CCUGCAGGCCACCUGAACUAAAGUCAGCAUCUGCUGCUUCCUCUGCAUCGAGCUUGGUCUACGCUCUCCUUCACCGUCUUGUUCUCUCUGUCUUUCUCAUCUGAAACUCCUACACCUGAUUCCCUGUCCUCUAGACAAUUCAAGACUUUAACCCUGUUGUAUUGAUUUAAAACGAUGAUGCAUCUAUAAUUGCUAAAAAACUUUGUGGUUGGCUUACUUCUUCUCUUUAUACUAUGCUGUACAUCUGUUGCAGAUUGAGGGGGUGGAUUCAUGCAAUUUAUCCUGGUAGGUACUGCCUCGGUGGACAGUGUCUUCUGUGAACCCCGUUGAAAGAUCCUUUUCUGGACUUGUGCAGACAUGUCCCUACACCUGAUGUUUCUCAGCCAUGUCUUCCUUCUGAGUAAUUGCAACAGUUCUACCCUUUCUAGGAGCGGAAGAGACCUCAGGUUUCUGGGAAUCUACAACGCCCAUUGUUUAUUUUAACUUCUCCUCUGGGACCCCCAGCCAUUGUGUGUGUAUAAAGUUUAUGAUUGUGUUCUCAAUCCUUGUUCUUAUACCACUACACUGACAUUUUAAAUAGUCCUUUAGAUGUUCCUGAGUCUGAGGACACCUCCUGCCAUCUGAAACUACCUGAUUUUUGAAUGUAUGUUUGUUUUGCUCCAUGUGUAACUCUGUCUGUGUCGAACUGCUUUGCUUUAUCUUGGCCAGGUCGCAAUUGUAAAUGAGAACUUGUUCUCAACUUGCCUACCUGGUGAAAUAAAAGAUCCAGAACACUACUGAUUACAUAGCCAUGACGUGUGCCUCACCAUGCAAUAUUUAUUACAUACCUUUCAACAUCUGUUGGAAACUGGGAAAAUGAUUUUUCCUCCCUUCCUCUGGACAGUAUUGCUGCACAUUGUCAUAACUGCAUUAGUUAUCAGUAUCUUUGACAACAAUCACAUGGGAUUCCAGCUCAACAACUUCAUAAUCAAGAAUGGGAAAUAAGCUUGGCAUAAUGAUUUGUUUUUUGCUUCCUCUCCCCCUAAACAAAAUCAGAACAUUUGACAAUAAAAGGCAUUUAUUGAUGACAUGUUUCUUAUCAUGAAAAUAAAGUUA